CCGAUUGACUAAGGUUUCCAGAGGAAGGCUCGUCCGCUCUGGGUUAGUCGGGUCCUAAGCUGAGGCCGACAGGCGUAGGCGAUGGAUAACAGGUUGAUAUUCCUGUACCACCUAGUAUCGUUUUAAUCGAUGGGGGGACGCAGUAGGAUAGGCGAAGCGUGCUGUUGGAGUGCACGUCCAAGCAGUAAGGCUGAGUGUUAGGCAAAUCCG
rnacentral:rRNA from 1 species